AGGAUGGGCAUGCGUCUGAUUAGUUAGUUGCGGGGUAAUGGCCCACCAAGACGAUGAUCAGUAGGGGUUCUGAGAGGAAGAUCCCCCACACUGGCACUGAGAUACGGGCCAGACUCCUACGGGAGGCAGCAGUAGGGAAUAUUGGUCAAUGGAUGCAAGUCUGAACCAGCCAUGCCGCGUGCAGGAAGAAGGCCUUCUGGGUUGUAAACUGCUUUUAUCUGGGGAUAAAAAGGCCUUGCGAGGCAAACUGAAGGUACCAGAUGAAUAAGCCACGGCUAACUACGUG
rnacentral:rRNA from 1 species